ACAAUUAUUUUUUCGCUUUCAGAUCUUUUUUUUUCGCUUUCAGACUUUUGACCCUGAUAUUGCUUCGGGGGGCGGGGCUUACCAAAGAGUAGUUUGGCACCCUGAGUGACAGCCCUCCAUCUGUCAUGAUGCCUUCAUGGAUGUUAGGUAGCGCAAGAAAUACAACUACACACUUUCUAUACACAAUACUCCCGUGAUUGGUGGUAAACAAAACUGAUACCAGCGUCAACGUUCCGUUAAGCGAGCUUUUGAGCAUCGUAGUUGGCAAAAAUUGCGGUAUAAGAGCAAUAAACUGUGCUAGAAUGUGAAAUUACGUAUCCGCAAUGAAGCGUUGUCCUUCCCCACUUCCACGUAGCUCCGUGAACGCAGCAUAGUAUUGGCUUGGCUUUUGCGAUGGCGUCAGGUCAUUCAUAUUACGUUCUUAUUAUACAUCCAUGCGUCAGGUCCAUGGUCAGGUCCACCUGCUGGCUCCAUGGCUGGAACCAGCGCACAGGAGCAACUGAAAAGGGACUUUCUUCAGAGACUACUGACUUUCCCAGAUCACGCAGAGACUGCCCUUAGAUGUUGACUAUUUGCAGUUUGCAGUGGACCAGGAGGUGGCUCUUUUUAGGUCGCUAUCAGGCCAGGUUGAUAUGCCACAGGAUGUCAUCAUGCUUUGACUGAGCUGUCAAGACUUGUCAAUCUUGAAGACAUCUCUAAUCAGACCCCUCAUCAGGUGCCAGUAAUGCAAGGAGAGAUGGGACGACCAAAACAUGUUGUCUGUCCUCAACAACUACAAGGCUUAAUAGAAGACUUGUCCCUACCAGUGCCGGCCAUAGCAACCCUUCUGGGUGUAUCUGAGAAGACAGUCAAAAGGCGCAUGCAUGAAAAUGGCCUCUCCAUAAAACAGUCCUACAGUACCUAACUGAUGAUGAACUAGACAAUUUGGUUCGUCAGUUAAGGCCAGGACACCACAUGUAGGAUAUGGAAUGAUGAAAGGAAUCCUGAAGGCCAUGGGUCGCCGUGUGCAAUGGAAGAGAGUGUCUUCAUCAAUGCAUCGUGUUGAUUCUGUGGGUGUACUCACAAGAAUGGCAAGGGUGGGGUGUGUUGCAAGAAGGACACAUUCUGUUCAGGGUCCUCUGCACUUGGUACACAUCGACACAAAUCAUAAACUCAUCAGGUACGCCACACAUUUGAUGUUAACAUGCUAUGUACAAUAAAGGAUAAUAGAGUACAAAUUAAAAAAGUGAUGUUUUAAAAUGCGCUGUCAAAGUUGUUUGCAUAAUAAAUAACAGACACUAAAAGUGAUUUUGUGUUUUCAAA